rnacentral:lncRNA from 1 species
CAGUAAUGUUUUGUAGAUUUCAGGGUAUAAGUUUCAGGGCUCUUCUGUUAAAUUUAUUCAUAAAAAUUUCAUUAUUUUUGAUAUAUAACAAAUGAUAUUGUUUUCUUAAUUUGUUUUUUGGAUAGUCCAUUGCUGGUGUGGACAGAAAUCAACGCAACUGAUUUUUGUGUGUUGAUCUUGCAACCUGCAAUUUUGCUGAAUUUGUUUCUUUAGUACAUUGAUUUUUUAAAUGUUAAUCAACCUUGUGUUCCUGGGAUACUUCCCAUUUGGUCAUGGUGUAUAAUCCUUUCAUGCUCUUGUAUUUAGUUUGAAGUGCAAAAAUAAUUCAGUGAUUAAGAUAGCAUAGUAUUGGCAGAUGAAUAGACCCACAGAUCGAUGGGAUAGAGAAUCCAUAAAUAAUCACACUAAAAAGGCCAACUGAUUUUUAAAAGAAGUGCAAAAGCAGUUCAAUGGAGAAAACGUAGGCUUUUCCAUCACUGGUGUUGGUGCAAUUGGACAUCCGUUAGCAAAACAAAAAAAAGAAUCUCAACCUAAACCUCACAACUUUUGUAUAAGUUAACUCAAAUGAAUCACGGAUACAGAAGGUAAACUUA